UUAGAGUUGGUCCUGGGAUCUGUCAUCCU
rnacentral:piRNA from 2 species